UACGAAGGGGGCUAGCGUUGCCCGGAAUCACUGGGCGUAAAGGGUGCGUAGGCGGGUCUUUAAGUCAGGGGUGAAAUCCUGGAGCUCAACUCCAGAACUGCCUUUGAUACUGAAGAUCUUGAGUUCGGGAGAGGUGAGUGGAACUGCGAGUGUAGAGGUGAAAUUCGUAGAUAUUCGCAAGAACACCGGUGGCGAAGGCGGCCCACUGGUCCGGUACUGACGCUGAGGUGCGAAAGCGUGGGGAGCAAACAGG
rnacentral:rRNA from 1 species